UCUACUUUACAUCACUCCAGCACCACUGUCUUCUGCUGAGACACUAGCCAUGCGUAUCCUUCCUCAGCUGUUAGAGGUCAAACUGUAAAAGGGGAACGGAAGGUUGAGGCAACUGGGUAAGACAGAUAACCUAAGAUCAGAGCAUGCAGAAUUUGAACGUCCCUUACUGGAAAGACAAUGCAAAGUCUCAAAAACAGGAAAUGAGAGUGCUGCUGGGCCAGUGUCACUUUGGACAAGUCUUCAUAUCCGGAGGGUGCAGAAAGAGACUGCCAGCUCUGUGGCCAGAGUAGACAAUUCAUAAUUCACAGUAGAAAAGUCAUAAUUAACAUGAAAUGGAUAUGAUCAUCAGAGUGUGACAGCUUCUCCAGAUCGUUGUGCUUCAUCCUCAGAAGAGUGAUCUCCUCCUCCAUUCGGUCCAGGUGUCUCACUGACUGGGUCAUCAGAGCUGCCUCCUGAGCUCUAAUCA